GUAGGUGAACCUGCGGAAGGAUCAUUAUUGAAAUAAACCUGCUGGGUUGUUGCUGGCUCUCUAGGGAGCAUGUGCACACCUUGUCAUCUUUAUAUCUCCACCUGUGCACUUUUUGUAGACAUCUUUCCAGGUGUCUAUGUUGACCCUUCAUUUGCCCCCCAAUGUAUGUCAAUAGAAUGUUGUGUCCAUGAUAAUAAAAUCUAUACAACUUUCAGCAACGGAUCUCUUGGCUCUC
rnacentral:misc_RNA from 1 species